rnacentral:rRNA from 1 species
UCCAGAGUACCACGGGACACGUGAAACCCUGUGGGAAGCAGGAGGGACCACCCUCCAAGGCUAAAUACUACCUAGUGACCGAUAGCGUAUAGUACCGUGAGGGAAAGGGGAAAAGAACCCCGGGAGGGGAGUGAAAUAGAACCUGAAACCCUGCACUUACAAGCUGUGGAAGCACAUUUCUUGUGUGACCGCGUACUUUUUGUAGAACGGGCCAACGAGUUACGUUAAGUAGCAAGGUUAAGCACUUAAGGUGCGGAGCCGUAGCGAAAGCGAGUUUUAACUGAGCGUUCAGUUA